rnacentral:rRNA from 1 species
CAGUAGCCGCGGUAAAACAGAGGGUGCAAGCGUUAAUCGGAAUUACUGGGCGUAAAGCGCGCGUAGGUGGUUCGCCAAGUUGGAUGUGAAAUCCCCGGGCUCAACCUGGGAACUGCAUCCAAAACUGGCGAGCUAGAGUAUGGUAGAGGGUGGUGGAAUUUCCUGUGUAGCGGUGAAAUGCGUAGAUAUAGGAAGGAACAUCAGUGGCGAAGGCGACCACCUGGACUGAUACUGACACUGAGGUGCGAAAGCAUGGGGAGCAAACAGGAUUAGAUACCCGUGUAGUCCCUGUCUCUUAUAC